rnacentral:lncRNA from 1 species
CAUUAUAAUUAUACUUUAACUUAUGGAUUUAUUUGUCCAUUUUUUUUUCCUCUCCAGCUCAUUUAAAACUAUGUGAAGAUGGGCUGUGUGUUCACUUCCACCUUCCUGGUGCUUAGCACAGCGACAGGAUCACAGGAGGUGCUCAAUGAAUGUUGUUGGCAUCCUAGGCUCAAUCCACUUUCUUCUCGAAAGAGUAAGGACUUGUCUGCAGAGAAGCAACCCCUUGAGAAUCACUGGAAACCAGGGAUGAACUGUUGUGAGAGGGCAAGCUAUCCAGGAGUAGGAGCAGCCAUCUUGGGUCCAAGUGUUGACAAGCCUGAAGAUCUGGUUGAGCUGCUCAAAUGA